AACAGGUCUUCGGACGCUGACGAGUGGCGAACGGGUGAGUAAUACAUCGGAACGUGCCCAGUCGUGGGGGAUAACUACUCGAAAGAGUAGCUAAUACCGCAUACGAUCUGAGGAUGAAAGCGGGGGACCUUCGGGCCUCGCGCGAUUGGAGCGGCCGAUGGCAGAUUAGGUAGUUGGUGGGAUAAAAGCUUACCAAGCCGACGAUCUGUAGCUGGUCUGAGAGGACGACCAGCCACACUGGGACUGAGACACGGCCCAGACUCCUACGGGAGGCAGCAGUGGGGAAUUUUGGACAAUGGGCGAAAGCCUGAUCCAGCAAUGCCGCGUGCAGGAUGAAGGCCUUCGGGUUGUAAACUGCUUUUGUACGGAACGAAAAA
rnacentral:rRNA from 1 species